CAAAUAUAGUAGUUCCAGAAAUAAAAUUGGAACGAUACGAAAAAGAUUAGCAUGGUCCCUGCGCAAGGAUGAAAAAGCAAAAUCGUGAAACGUUCCACAUUUUU
rnacentral:snRNA from 1 species